UCUGGGGUAUGGCAUAAGUAUGGAGAAGCCAUGACCUCAAU
rfam:Oryctolagus cuniculus chromosome 13, whole genome shotgun sequence.